AGGAGCUUGCUUCUCUGAGCGAGUGGCGAACGGGUGAGUAACGCGUGAGGAACCUGCCUCAAAGAGGGGGACAACAGUUGGAGACGACUGCUAAUACCGCAUAAGCCCACGGGUCGGCAUCGACCAGAGGGAAAAGGAGCAAUCCGCUUUGAGAUGGCCUCGCGUCCGAUUAGCUAGUUGGUGAGGUAAUGGCCCACCAAGGCGACGAUCGGUAGCCGGACUGAGAGGUUGAACGGCCACAUUGGGACUGAGACACGGCCCAGACUCCUACGGGAGGCAGCAGUGGGGAAUAUUGCACAAUGGGGGAAACCCUGAUGCAGCGACGCCGCGUGGAGGAAGAAGGUCUUCGGAUUGUAAACUCCUGUUGUUGAGGAAGAUAAUGACGGUACUCAACAAGGAAGUGACGGCUAACUACGUGCCAGCAGCCGCGGUAAAACGUAGGUCACAAGCGUUGUCCGGAAUUACUGGGUGUAAAGGGAGCGCAGGCGGGAAGACAAGUUGGAAGUGAAAUCCAUGGGCUCAACCCAUGAACUGCUUUCAAAACUGUUUUUCUUGAGUAGUGCAGAGGUAGGCGGAAUUCCCGGUGUAGCGGUGGAAUGCGUAGAUAUCGGGAGGAACACCAGUGGCGAAGGCGGCCUACUGGGCACCAACUGACGCUGAGGCUCGAAAGUGUGGGUAGCAAACAGGAUUAGAUACCCUGGUAGUCCACACCGUAAACGAUGAUUACUAGGUGUUGGAGGAUUGACCCCUUCAGUGCCGCAGUUAACAAAAGGAGUAAUCCACCUGGGGAGUACGACCGCAAG
rnacentral:rRNA from 1 species